GAAAUGCGAUAAGUAGUGUGAAUUGCGGAAUUCAGUGAAUCAUCGAAUCUUUGAACGCACAUUGCGCCCCUUGGUAUUCCAUGGGGCAUGCCUGUUCGAGCGUCAUUUGUACCUUCAAGCUUUGCUUGGUGUUGGGUGUUUGUCUCGCCUCUGCGUGUAGACUCGCCUCAAAACAAUUGGCAGCCGGCGUAUUGAUUUCGGAGCGCAGUACAUCUCGCGCUUUGCACUCAUAACGACGACGUCCAAAAGUACAUUUUUACACUCUUGACCUCGGAUCAGGUAGGGAUACCCGCUGAACUUAAGC
rnacentral:misc_RNA from 1 species